CCUAGCGGCGGACGGGUGAGUAACGCGUGGGAACGUGCCCCUUGGUACGGAAUAGCCCCGGGAAACUGGGAGUAAUACCGUAUGAGCUCUACGGAGGAAAGAUUUAUCGCCAAGGGAUCGGCCCGCGUUGGAUUAGGUAGUUGGUGGGGUAAUGGCCUACCAAGCCGACGAUCCAUAGCUGGUUUGAGAGGAUGAUCAGCCACACUGGGACUGAGACACGGCCCAGACUCC
rnacentral:rRNA from 1 species